rnacentral:lncRNA from 1 species
GAGACGGCUUGAAUGGCCGUCUCCAGCCAUUAUUAGUCUCAAAGUGGGUUCCUCGUCAUCGAAUUUGAAGUAAUAACGUAACGUUGUGGCAUUGUGGGUAAGAUUGAGUCAAGGGAUAAUUGUGUCGUAAGAAAUUUAAGCGAAGUGUUUAAACAUCUUUGUACUAAAUAAGGAACGAAUAGUUUCCAGUAUUGGACCAUGAGUAUUCAGUGGACUCUAGUAGCUGGGUUUCUAUAUGCUGAGAUAGCAUUUCUUAUUCUGUUGCUACUUCCUUUAAUUUCACCAACAAGAUGGAGGCAGGUCUUCAAGUCGAGAUUAUGCCAAGCUGUAAAAAACCAGUCACAUGUGUACUUUACUGUAUGUAUUAUUGGACUUGUACUUCUCUUCCUGGGUAAGAUUAUAUUAUUUAC